AGCUACUUGACAAAAUGAAUGGCAAAUACAAAUAUCCUGUGACCUGUCGACUAGACUCAACAAAGGGGAAGUUAACCCUCGUGUGAAGGCAGAAACUAACAAAAAACGGAAGUCGCUGCUACUUCAUUUUGUCCCCAUCAUGUAAGAAAAUGAAGAACCUAUUUUCUAAUUCAGGCAAUGCAAUUUCAGAACUGCUUCUGUGUCUCUGAAGGAUCAUUGCUGAAACUGAAUCCUGAGGUACCAUGUGAGAAACCUUAACAAGCAAGACUUCAUCCAUUCUAGAUGAAUUUUGAAGGCAUGAUAUGAAAGUUUCAAAGCAUAC
rnacentral:misc_RNA from 1 species